rnacentral:tRNA from 1 species
CUUUAAGGGAGACCCUCUGAUGGCUGCCCAUCUCACGAAAAAGGGAAGCAAUCAGACAUCCCAGAGGUCGUUCGAGGUUUAGAUUGAGGCAAGUAGCUUCCAGACUAUGUUUAGGAGAGGAUAAGGGCUAUUAGCUCAGGUGGUUAGAGCGCACCCCUGAUAAGGGUGAGGUCCCUGGUUCGAGUCCAGGAUGGCCCACUCUGAAAGUAGGGGGGUAUAGCUCAGCUGGUAGAGCGCCUGCUUUGCACGCAGGAAGUCAGCGGUUCGAGUCCGCUUACCUCCACCAGGAGCGUCGGAAGAAUAGGGACAGAAGAGUUCAGCAAUUAAGGAACUGAGAAACUGCCUGAGAGUAUCGGGUAGGAGUUGAGAGCUUAAUCUGCUGAGCAGAGAUGUUCAGUAAGGACCUUGAAAACUGCAUAGCUAGAGAAAGUCAAAAAGCAAAGGUAGUCUAGGCUUUCAGGAACCAAAUUUCCAUAGUUUAUGGAGAAGAGGAGAGAGAAAGAAUAGAGUAAGCAGACAACGAGAGACUGCAAUGAGAGUUGUGGUCAAGCUACAAAGGGCUAACGGUGGA